UCAGGAUGAACGCUGGCGGCGUGCUUAACACAUGCAAGUCGAACGGACGCCGUACUGAAGUGGAAGGAGCUUGCUCCGGAAGCGGAGGUAUGAUGUUAGUGGCGGACGGGUGAGUAACGCGUGGGUAACCCUGCCUCACAUCGGGGGAUACCAGUCGGAAACGACUGCUAAAACCGCAUAAGACCACGAAACCGCAUGGUAUCGCGGCCAAAACUCCGGUGAUGUGAGAUGGACCCGCGUCUGAUUAGCCAGUUGGCGGGGUAACGGCCCACCAAAGCGACGAUCAGUAGCCGACCUGAGAGGGUGAUCGGCCACAUUGGGACUGAGACACGGCCCAAACUCCUACGGGAGGCAGCAGUGGGGAAUAUUGCACAAUGGGGGAAACCCUGAUGCAGCGACGCCGCGUGAGUGAUGAAGUAUUUCGGUACGUAAAGCUCUAUCAGCAGGAACGAUAAUGACGGUACCUGACUAAGAAGCACCGGCUAAAUACGUGCC
rnacentral:rRNA from 1 species